GGCGCCUUUCAGCUUCAAGAUCUCCGAUUGUAGAUUGCAAAGUUACAAAAUGGUCUUUGCUCGUUUUCUGUAGGGCCUGCAAGGCUGAGGAUGAUGGCAGUGGCAGGCCUGCAAUUAGCGCAAGAUGUGACUCUUGAACGCAGCAGGAAAACCCAAGAGGAAGCUGAGUUUGGAACAGAAAUUCAGGCAAGCGCGAAUUAG
rnacentral:lncRNA from 1 species